UGGGGAAUAUUGCACAAUGGGCGCAAGCCUGAUGCAGCCAUGCCGCGUGUAUGAAGAAGGCCUUCGGGUUGUAAAGUACUUUCAGCGGGGAGGAAGGGAGUAAAGUUAAUACCUUUGCUCAUUGACGUUACCCGCAGAAGAAGCACCGGCUAACUCCGUGCCAGCCGCCGCGGUAAUACGGAGGGUGCAAGCGUUAAUCGGAAUUACUGGGCGUAAAGCGCACGCAGGCGGUUUAUUAAGUCAGAUGUGAAAUCCCCGGGCUCAACCUGGGAACUGGAUCUGAAACUGGCAAGCUUGAGUCUCGUAGAGGGGGGUAGAAUUCCAGGUGUAGCGAUGAAAUGCGUAGAGAUCUGGAGGAAUACCGGUGGCGAAGGCGGCCCCCUGGACGAAGACUGACGCUCAGGUGCGAAAGCGUGGGGAGCAAACAGG
rnacentral:rRNA from 1 species